rnacentral:lncRNA from 1 species
UUCAGUGCUUCACGGUUGCCACCUGGAAAUUCUUAGUAACAUUAUCUUUGAAUUUUUGUUUUGUAAAUGAGGUCUAAUAGGACAGUGCCCCGGUUUGUGCCUCCACAAAGGCUCCUCAGCCUAAUACUAUGGCUCACAAGAAGCACUCAGGCCAGACCUAGGCUUGGGAGUCAGAUGGCUCAUAUUGAGCAGUUGUGAAGUGGGUAAAGCUAAAUAAAGGUACUGGGUGUUUUUGAGACCACUUGUGAGUGGGUGUUUGGCAAAUUACAAAGAGUAUCCACAUGAAGGCUCCUGUGUCACUAUUCCGGGGUACAAUGUUACUGCCUUUCCAAACCACCUCUUUACAGCAACCAACACACAGGCCCAAGGGGAAUUUGUUGGACUGAAGCUGGUUAUAGUACUUGUUUAACUGACACCCUACCCGUAGAAGAGUAGCUUAGCUCCUACUUGCUCCUGCUUAUGAAAUAUUCCCAAUCACUAGUCAUUUGACCCUCCUUGAAAAAGCCUAGACAGUCAGAUUUUUAAAAUCUUCCUUUACAGCCAGCCAGAAUAUCUAUUAAUUUUACUCAUGGGUGAUAGGAAAUCUAGUUAUUCUUCCCUGUGAUUGCCCUUUUAAGUAUUUAACAAACGCUAUCGUGUUUUCAAAGUCUUUUUUUUUUCCUCUAGAUUAAAUAUCUUCACUUAUUUCAACCUUAAAAAAAAGAAAAGGAUUGCUUCUAAGCCACCAGCUCCUAUGCUCCCUGGUACCUCCACCAUGACCAUCCUCUUCAACAUAACCAGGACCAGUGUUACACUCUGUCCUCAGCAGAAUUCCAGGCACAGACCAUUUUUCUGGAGAGAAGCUGAGCCGGUCCCAACACCCAGAAGGAAGCUCCACCGCCACCAUGCCAUCCCAAGCUCCUAGGGCAGAGAAGGUGAGCCAGUCCCAGCACCCGGAAGGAAGCUCCCCUGCCGCCAUCCCGAGCUCCUAGGGCAGAGAAGGUGAGCCGCAUGGGCACCAGAAGCACUCACCCACUGUGGAAAUGAGAAGACAUGUAAACAAGCCUCAAAAACAGACUUCUGGAUCACCUACAGCAACCCCAAAGGGAAACAAGAUGGAACAAUCUGAUAUUCAACCACCUGAACUUUCUGAACUGGCAACAAAAGAGGAUCUGGGAAAAAUGAAAUCAGAAAUAAUUACUCA